ensembl:lncRNA
AUGAACAUGGAAAACAAGACGACAAGAGGCUCAAAAGAAAAGGUAGGGGAAGAUGCUGAACUCCAGACACUGCGAAUGCUAGCAGAAAACAUAGUCCAAUGGUACGUAAUUUAUUUAUUGUCAUUCCUUUGUGAAAUCACCAUAUUAAAUUCCCAUCAUGGGUAUGUGAAAGGAUUAGAUACUAUGUGUUCAAUUGGCCUUAAGCAUAGAAAUAAGCUGCUUUCUGAGGUCAAUUAACCUGUCACUGAGAGUGCCCAUCAUCUUGGUAUAUGAGAUCAAGAAUCCAUUAAGACAGGGAAGGUGGGGAGCAGUUGGGAGGCAAGCAUUUUAGAAGGCAUUUAGUUGAAACUAAUGGAAGGUAGGUACAAAACCUAAUUGGAUAACAAUAUGCUAAGAGUAAUUAUUAAUGGAUCAGUGUUAAAAUUGAAGGAUUGAUCGUGCAACAUUUUUCUGCUAGGCUUGGGGCUGUAGGAAUCUGGCCCAGAUCCAACUUCGUUCAAAGUUUCCUUUGCAACCCGGGUGAUGCAGUAGAGAACAUUUCUAUUAAAUUUGCUGACAACAUGAAACUGUGAGGCACUGAGAGGAUAUUGGCUGACAGGAUUAGAAUUCAAAAUGAUUUUGACAAUUGGAAAAAUAUCCAGGAAAAAAAAAAAAAAGGUAUGAGAGAGAAUUCAGAGGAAAUGAUGCAAAGCUGUAGAGUUUAAUCAUAUUUCCACAAUCCUUGGCCUGUGCUUUGAUCAGUGCCCUACCAUUACCACCUAGCUAGAAGCACCAUUUGCAAUGUAGAACUGCAGGAGCAACACGCCACUUUCACCUCUACCUUGAGCAGCAGUAGAAGUAGCAGCAGCAGGCUGGGUGUCAUCUACCUGGAAGUGGUCAAAGAGCUGUGUGAAGCGGCAUGGACCCAUUCAAAACACAUCACGUACAUCCAGGUGAAUAUAUGCAGAAAUGGAAAGUCCAAGUUUAGAGCAGUCAACGUACUAAAGCAGUCAAAGUACUAUAUCUGGGCUGCUGUAGUCCUGCCGUACUCCUGCCAUCCCUCACUUUCCUUAUUGCUAGGAGUGGUUCUAAUGCAACCCCACGCUGAGACAGUGGGGUUAGCUAGCUUCAUCAAGAAAGUCAUUAUUUCUUAGGCAGAGGAGCUCCCAGGGCCAGCUCACCACCGAACUGUUUGAGUUCACACAAUGAAAGGAAUAGGAGCGUGCAACUGGGGUCGAAGGGAGAGCAGGACCACAGCAGCCCAGAUGCAGAUCACCUUCAGGUACCAGAGCACUCUGAAAAGAGAGGACUCAACUGGCUGCACUGCUAAGACUUUUCUGUGAAGAAUUCAUUCUAGCAAAGAAGAAAAAGGGAGUCCCCCUCCAGCACCAUCUUGUCCCAUGAGAAAAGAGAUGUCUCAUAACUGUGAGCUGAGCUUCACAUAUGGGGGAAUUGACUGUAGAAAAUAUGUUUGACCAUCCGAAGUCCAGAGAAAUAGCCCUAAAAGAACAGAGUUAGAUAUCAGACUAGUCUUAUUGGGGUUCUGUUUCUCUGUCGUCCUCUGCACAGAACUUGCAGGAGCAAAGAGGAGCAGAUGGCACAAGGCAGAGAGCGAGAAACCCAAAUGGAGCCAUGGUCACCACCUGUGCCUGCCACAGCUUGUUCACUCACCUGGGACAAAUGGCAGGGGCAAACUGUGCAGAAUGCCCCGAUCAACUCUUUACACAAAAUCCCUUACUGCUGCUUGCUGUGCUGUGAAAUUAUGUGUAUGCCUGAGUGAAAGCAAUAAAAAACUCCUUUCUGCAAGUCUUGCUCA